ACAGCGAACCAACUCGACCAGUGCGACAACGUCUUAAAUAAACAGAAUUUGAGAGCUGGAACGAGCUAGCAACGCCAACCCACACUUUUAAACCUCAACGUUGAUUGGCUGGAUACAACUCACACCACUUGCUACAUCACGUGUACAAAGAUCCCUCAACCGUUAGUAUAAAAGUGCGUGCACAACCCAAAUUUGUCAGUGGAUGACCUCUCAGUGAGUGGAUGAUCUUUCAGUGCAUGAUAUCUCAGUGGAUUCUCAGUGAACUUUAGGAAACUACUACGAGAAGACGAACAUUAUAUUAAAAACUGAUAGUUAUUAGAGGUUGAUUGUAACGAUUCACUACUUAAA